GAUGAACGCUGGCGGCGUGCCUAAUACAUGCAAGUCGAGCGAACAGAUGAGGAGCUUGCUCCUCUGACGUUAGCGGCGGACGGGUGAGUAACACGUGGAUAACCUACCUAUAAGACUGGGAUAACUUCGGGAAACCGGAGCUAACACCGGAUAAUAUAUUGAACCGCAUGGAUCAAUAGUGAAAGACGGUUUUGCUGUCACUUAUAGAUGGAUCCGCGCCGCAUUAGCUAGUUGGUAAGGUAACGGCUUACCAAGGCAACGAUGCGUAGCCGACCUGAGAGGGUGAUCAGCCACACUGGAACUGAGACACGGUCCAGACUCCUACGGGAGGCAGCAGUAGGGAAUAUUCGACAAUGGGCGAAAGCCUGACGGAGCAACGCCGCGUGAGUGAUGAAGGUCUUCGGAUCGUAAAACUCUGUUAUUAGGGAAGAACAAAUGUAUAAGUAUCUAUGCACGUCUUGACGGUACCUAAUCAGAAAGCCACGGCUAACUACGUG
rnacentral:rRNA from 1 species